GCCCUAGUAGCUCAGCAUAAUAGAGCAUCGGUCUUGUAAUCCGAAGGCCGGAGGUUAAAUCCCCCCCUAGUGCU
rnacentral:tRNA from 1 species